rnacentral:misc_RNA from 1 species
AACGCACAUUGCGCCCUUCGGUAUUCCGUUGGGCAUGCCUGUUCGAGCGUCAUUUUAACCUUCAAGCAUAGCUUGGUGUUGGGUGCUUGUCCCCCCUAGUGGCGGACUCACCUCAAAUGCAUUGGCGGCCGGUAUGUUGGCUUCGAGCGCAGUACAACGCGCCUGGUGUCUAGACGUGCUGGUCCUCCACAAGGCCUUCUUUAAUCUUGACCUCGGAUCAGGUAGGGAUACCCGCUGAACUUAA